rnacentral:rRNA from 1 species
CCUACGGGAGGCAGCAGUGGGGAAUAUUGCACAAUGGGGGAAACCCUGAUGCAGCGACGCCGCGUGAGUGAAGAAGUAUUUCGGUACGUACAGCUCUAUCAGCAGGGAAGAAAAUGACGGUACCUGACUAAGAAGCCCCGGCUAACUACGUGCCCGCAGCCGCGGUCAUACGGAGGGGGCAAGCGUUAUCCGGGUGUACUGGGUGUAAAGGGAGCGUAGACGGCAGCGCAAGUAUGGCGUGAAAUCCCAUGGCUUAAGCAUGGAACUGCUGUGGAAACUGUGCAGCUAGAGUGCAGGAGAGGUAAGCGGAAUGCCUGGUGUAGCGGUGAAAUGCGUAGAUAUGAGGAGGAACACCAGUGGCGAAGGCGGCUUACUGGACUGUAACUGACGUUGAGGCUCGAAAGCGUGGGGAGCAAACAGGAUUAGAUACCCGUGUAGUC